rnacentral:lncRNA from 1 species
CAGUCUUCGUCGGUGGGUAGCGAAACUCAUCGAACCUAUAGUGUGCAAUGAGCCACCUAUUUGAGAUGCUCUAUUAGCCUUUGCCUGUUCCCUCCUCUCCCUAUAUUCAGGAGUAUUCCAUUUUGCUAAGAUCUGGACUCACACAUCAGCAUACAGCCAACAAGGUUUUUCUAAGUUCCUCCAGACCUCAUACAAGUGUUCUUUGAUCCGUAGAGCUGCUUUCAAUUUGAAAAUGCAUUGUAUUUCAUUUUCAUGACAAGAAUUUCAUGCACACUUUCUGCAAAAUAGUUUAAUAUAAUGUCAUGAAAUGAGUUGACGGAUACAAAGGUAAAUUCAUCAUUGAUAGCAUACUGAAAUGGUAAAUUCUUUGAUUUUGAUUAUACCAUAAACUGAUUCCACAUAAGAAUUCUAUUUUCGAGUCAAAUCUACCCUGCGGCUCUGUGUAAAUUGGUUUAACUGCUUCUAUAACCAUAUGUCCACCGCUAUAUGCGGGAAUGAACCUGCAUAAAUCCAAUGAUAGAAUUCUUUGUUAUGUAGAAAUCUUUGAGCAAGUCAAGUUUAUUUGGGUUAAGUUCAUUCAUAAGUCCAAUGAUAGAAUUCAUGCCCUCUUGGAAAUAGAAUAGUGUAACUUAAUACUCAGUAACCGAACGGCAAUAGAUAACUUAGAAUGAACCGAUCCUUCAUACAAUGGAUGACUAUCUUUCUUUAACUAUUCAUAAAAGUGAUUAGUCUCAUCAUUUGGUUCAUUUUGAGCCCCUGAGUAUGUCCCAAAAGCAUCCCUGACCAUCUCACUAUAUCAUGAACUUUCAACAUCAUUCUUUCUUAUUGGACUUUCAACAUAAUUCUGAAAAGCAAAAUUAUUAGCAGCAUUACUCUCUCCAUGAGUUGUCCACACAGUAUAAUUCAACAUAAAACCCUUUUUAUAAAGAUGUAAUGUAACAACAUCUGGACUCAAUAACUUGCAACACUUGCAAUUCCAACAAGGACACCUAAUUAUCCCUUCAGUAAGAAAAUCAUUAAGUGUCAUUGCUUUAGUAAUAAAUCCAGCUACCCCAUUUUUAUAUUCCUUCCUCAACUCCACACGGUUAGGAUAAAGUCUAUUAUACAUCCAUGUACUAUCUUUAUUUUCCAACUACACAACAAUGACAAUAAUAAUGUAACGACCCUCAAAUUUGGUACCCGAAAUGCUACACGGUGCUUAUGACCCCGAAGGACCACAAGCUAACCCAUGACUGAUAUCUAUACCUGUAUACUACAUAAUAUACUGAGCAAUCCAGAAACAUGAACUGAAAGGCCAUAAGGUUCACACAACUGAAGUAAAACAUAACAUCUAAAACCGGGUAUGAAAUACCCAAAAACACUGAAAUAACUGUCUAAACAUAAUAGUCUAGAAAGCCUCUAACUAAUUAAACUGUUUGAGUAAGGAGUUGAUGGGACAUGUCCCCAACUAACUCCAACUAAUAAACUAAUUAAAGAGAUAAUAGAGAAAUAAUCAUGUCUUUGAAGGAUGAGGACUCACUUCUAACUCUGACUGCUGAUAUCUAGAAUCUACUGAUGCUCUGGAACUUGUGUCUCUGAACCUAUGGUAUAAGACACUAUAGUGCAAAUGCGUCAGUACUUUGAAUGUACUGGUAUGCAUAUGAGGUAAGCUGAAUGCAUGGGGUUUAUAUGUAUGAAUAAAUAUAAUAACAGACUGACUAUCACGAGUGUGAGAGUACGUGCAUGAGACAUAAAAACUGACAUGAUACUAUGAUAACAUGAUUAAUGAUAACUAAAAUAUACAACUAAUAACAUGAGUGACAGUAUCUGACAGUCUUAAAUCUAAUGGAACUGAGUUCCGUACUGUAUCUGAAUUGACUAUAUUUGACAGUCUAGAAAUCUGAAGAACUAUCUGAGUUCUUGACUGAUACUGAUACUGAAAUUAUGAAAAGUAGUCAUCUAACCGACAUGCCCUAAGUGAUGCAUUAUAGCUGAAUUGGGGUCCAAUAUGUUCCAUGAUUGGAAGGGUGUCAAUACCGAGCCACUGGUAAGGACAACAUGUGAGAGACCCUAAUAUAACAGGUAACUCUAAUGAGAACGGUGGGAACCCUCAUAUAGCAGGUUAAUCCACCUCAUCUACCCUCAUAUAGCAGGCUAUGAUGUCUUAACCUAUGCUGGCUACAUAGUUAUGGAAUGCAAGGAUUUAUUCUAAGAAUCACACCCUCAUAUAGCAGGUGAGUUCCCAUCCUUGGGUUUACUCGGUGAUAAUUUCUACUCCCAUCUGAAUAGACAAUGAACAUGAUUUACUGAACUGAACAUGUGCUGAGUUACUAAAUUCCGUUGACUGAUAGAAUACUACUGAUAUUUGACAACUGACUGAGUUUAUGAGAUCAUGGAGUUUCCUGAGUCAUAAGACUGUCUGAAGUCUAAGAAUUCAUAGCUUGACUGAAAAUAUCAUGAAAACAUGACAUGGUUCUAGGCACACAACUGAUGUUUCAGGUACAAGCACCCCCAGGACUCGAUAGAAGGAAACUGACAAAGCAUGACUUGCUUGAAUACAUAAUAAUCACCAUAAUGCAUUUACUGAAGCAUUUCAUCAAACAUAUGAUAGGCAUAAGCUUGUACAUACAUGGGGAUUUCAUGAUAACAUGCUAGUUAGGCAAUUUUCCUUCAUUUAGGCAUUAAAUCAAACAUAUUGUAGGCAUGGUACAUGUAAACAUCAUUGUACAACAAUUAAACAUCAUGGUCACAUUCUAAUUUUAUCAUUCAAGGGUUUAGUCAUAGGUUUGCAUGAAUAUAUAUCUAUAAUAAUUAAACCCACAUAGAAAUUAUCACCCAACAUGGAGUAGAAUUCAAUUUCUAAUUUAUCAACAUGAACAAGAAUAACCCAAUCAUGAAAUCAUAAAGAAAAUCCAUAACUUGAAGUUGGAAAAGGGAUUCAUGGACUUCAUGGACGAAAGAAGUCCAUGAAUGAACACUAUGCAUACCUGGGUUGAGUUUCUUGAAGUUCUUGAACUUCAAGAAUUUGAAUCUCUUAGUUCUUGAAGAAGAUUUGGAUUUUGUUCUUGGAGAUUAAUGUUAGAGAGAAAACCCUAGUUUUGUUGUUGUGAAAGAAUAACGAAUUUUUGAGCUUUGGUCAGAUAUAAUUGGGUAUAUAAACGGGUGGUAAAAGAUCAAAAAGCCCCUUUUAAAACUCCUUUAAUUUGCUGAAUUGGGACCUACAACGGCUCGUACGACGGUCCAUCACUUGGGUGACGGUCCGUCGUUUCGACCGUCGUACAUGGACCAAGUAAAAGGCUUACUGCCUUAGUAGCGAUGGCCUGGGCGAUGGUCCGUGGCAAGUUCAAUGGUCCGUCAACCUGCCCGUUGCACCUUAUCCAGAAGGUAGCCUCACUGUUUCCCUUACGAUGGUCAUGGGCGACAGUCCGUCGCUAGUCUUGCGGUCUGUCGGCCUCACGGUCGCACUUGGAAGGUCUAUAACUUUCUCCUUCGAUAUCAGAUUUUGAUGAAAUUGGUAUCAUUGGAAAGCUAAUUAAAUUUCCCACAUGAAAAAAAGUGAAAAUCUUAAAAAUACCAUAUGUACAAAAGUGGAUUCAUCUUUCCAAGAAAGCUUCUAAUAUUCUUGAGAUGAUUUCAAGCUAGGAAAAGUACGGGGUAUUACAAUAUCUCUCCUUUGAGAACAUUCUUCCUCGAAUGAGACUGAGUGAGGGGAAAGAAUAACCAAUGUACAUACUGAACAUGAAUACUGAAACAUGAUCUCAUGACCGACAUGACUGAUAACUGAACAUAUCAUACUGAACAUGCAUAUCUGAUGCAUGUUCAUGAAUACAUGACUGGGUGUUUUGAUGAACUAAGUUUCUCACAGUGAGAAUGCAUGUCGGAUGCAUAAUUAUAUAAAUAAGCUGAUAAAUAAAUAUAUGACUGAAUAUACAAUGGUAUUUAAUACCAAGUUUGUGAUGAACACUGAACAUGAAACUAGGUAAGCUUAAGGAGAAAUGUUACCUUGAGCUUGAUCUGAGUUGGCAGAGGAAAGGUGAGGAUAAUUGGUAUGCAUGUCUACUUUUGUUUCCCAAGUAUCUCCCUCGAUUGAAUGAUUUUUCCAAAGAACUUUAACUAGAGGGACUUCUUUGUUCCUCAAUCUACGAGUCUGAUAGUCUAGGAUUUCAAUUAUAAUCUCUUCAUAAGAGAGGCUGAGGCUGUUCUGAACAUCAAUGCUCUGAAUAGGGACUACAACUGUUGGGUCACCUAUACAUUUCUUAAGCAAAGAGACAUGGAAGACUGGAUGAACUGAGGCUAGAUCUGAAGGCAAUUCGAGCUCAUAAGCUACCUUGCCAAAGCGACUGAGAAUCUUAAAGGGACAGAUAUAUCGGGGACUGAGCUUUUCCUUAUUGUUGAAACUCUUCACUCCCUUCUUGGUAGAGAUAUUUAGAUAGACAUGAUCACCAAUCUGAAACUCGAGAUCCUUUCUAUGAAUAUUUGCAUAAGAUUUCUAUCGACUCUGAGCAGCCCAGAGUCUUUCUCUGAUCAACUGGACUUUUUCUAAUGUGUCGAAUACCAAGUUAAGCCCUAUAACUGAGGCCUCACUAACUUCGAACCAACCAAUCGAGGAUCUACAUCUCCUACCAUAGAGAGCUUUGAAUGGAGCCAUGUGAAUACUGAAAUGAUAGCUAUUGUUGUAUGCAAAUUAAAUCAAAGGCAAGUAGUCAUCCCAACUACCCUUGAAAUCAAUUGCACACGUCCUUAGCAUAUCUUUUAAAGUCUGAAUGGUCCUUUCUUCUUGACCAUCUUUCUGAGGAUGAAAGGCUGUACUAAGAUGAACUUGGGUACCAAGACCCUUUUGGAAUACUUUCCAGAAAUGAGAGGUGAACUGGGUACCUCCGUCUGAGAUAAUAGAUAAUGGAACACCAUGUAAUCUGACCAACUCCCUAAUAUAGAGUAUGGCAUAAUCCUUGGCUGAAUAAGAGGUAUGAACUGGAAGGAAAUGGACUAAUUUGGUUAUUUUGUCUACGAUUACCCAAACUGAAUCAUGCUGAUGACUAGUUUGAGGCAAACCUGUCAUGAAGUCCAUGUUAACUUCUUCCCACUUCUAAGUAGGAAUAAUGAACUCCUGCAUAUGACCACUAGUCUUCUAAUGCUAUAUCUUAACCUGCUGACAUAUAGAGCACUUAGCCACAAACUCAGUAGUAUCUCUCUUCAUCCCACUCUACCAAUAGACUUCCUGCAAGUCAUGGUACAUCUUUGUGGCCCCUGGAUGAAUAGAGUAGCACGCACCAUGCGCUUCUGCAAGAAUUUACUGCCUUAAGUCAUCUAUAGCUGGAACACACAGACGAUCCUGGCAACGCAGAACACCGUCCCCCCAUUGGGAGAAAACCUCUACUUUCUGAUCCUUGACUGACUCUUUUAACUUGACAAGGCUAGGAUCCCUAUCUUGCUUUUCUUCUACCUCGAAAACUAGAGAUGAUUCUAAACUACUCUGAACCCAUAUAUCACCCUUCCCUGUAUCAACUAAGCGAACGUCUAGUCUUGGAAGCUGAUGAAAUUUCUGACUUAGCUCCUUCUUACUAUCCUCGACAUGAACAACACUACCCAUAGACAGUCUACUAAGAGCGUCUAUGUUGGCCUUGUACGGAUGAUAAAGGAUGCUCAUGUCAUAAUCUUUCAAGAGAUCCAACCACCUUCUCUGAAGAAGAUUGAGAUCUUUAUGAGAAAAGACAUACUGAAGGCUCUUAUGAUCCGUGAACACAUCUACAUGAACACUGUAUAGAUAAUUCCUCCAAAUCUUCAAGGCAAAUACUACGAUGGUUAACUAAAGAUUAAGAGUAGGGUAAUUAUUCUCAUGGGGCUUAAGUUAUCUAGAGGCGUAGGAUAUGACCUUACUAUGCUGCAUGGGGACACAACUUAAACCUACUCUGGAUGCAGCACAAUACACUAUGAACCCAUCUAAACCAUCUGGUAAUGCUAGAACUAGAGCUGAGGUGAGUCAAGUCUUCAACUCCUGAAAACUCUUCUCGUAAGGAUCUGACCACUUAAACUUGACUUUCUUUUGAGUCAAUCUGGACAUAGGGGAUGCAAUAAAAUAAAAUCCCUCAAUAAACCAUCUAUAAUAUCCAGCCAAACCCGACAAACUCCUGAUAUCUGAUGGAGAGAUAGGGCGAGGCUAGUUUAUUACUGCCUCGGUCUUUUGAGGAUCUACUCUAAUGCCAUCACCAAAAAUGAUAUGACUAAGGAACGCUACUGACCUUAGCCAAAAUUCGCACUUACUGAAUUUGGCGAAUAGCUGAUGAUCUCUGAGAGUCUGAAGUACUAUUUUGAGAUGGUCUAUAUGAUCUCGCUCACUGUGGGAAUAGAUCAGAAUAUCAUCUAUGAAGACUAUGAUGAAUAUGUCCAAGUACUACUUAAACACACGGUUCAUCAAGUCCAUAAAAGCGGUUAGGGCAUUGGUAAGACCAAAUGACAUAACUAAGAAUUCAAAGUGACCAUACCGAGUACGGAAGGCUGCUUUUGGAAUGUCACAUUCUCUGACUUUGAGCUGAUGAUAGCCAAAUCUGAGGUCUAUCUUUGAGAAAUAGCUAGCACCCUGAAGUUGGUCAAAUAAGUCAUCAAUUUUGGGAAGAGGAUACUUGUUCUUAACCAGACCAUAUUUAGUUGACGGUAGUCUAUAUACAUUCUGAGAGAACCGUCUUUCUUGCGCAUGAAUAAUACUAAAGUGCCCCAUGGGGACACACUGGGCUUGAUGAAUCUCUUAUCUAAGAGAUCCUUCAACUGUUCUUUCAGUUCUCUGAGUUCUGCUGGUGCCAUUCUAUAUGGCGGAAUGGAUAUAGGCUGAGUGUCUGAAAGAAGAUCAAUACCGAAGUCUAUUUCCUUUUUAGGAGGAAUUCCUGGAAGAUCUUCGGGAAAGACAUCUGAAUAUUCAUUCACAACUGGGACUGAUUCAAGACUGGGAGUUUUGGAACUAGUGUCCCUAACUCUGAACAAGAUGAUAGACAUAUCCUUUAGAUAUCAUUUUCUAUGCCCGAAGGUAGGAAAUAAACUGACCUCUGAAAGCGGAUACACUACUCUUCUACUCAAGGACGGAUUCAUUCAAAAACUAAAACUGGACUAUUCUAUUUUUGCAGUCGACUGUGGCAUAGCAGUAAUGAAUCUAAUCCAUACCGAGAAUGACAUCAAAAUCAGUCAUCUCUAAUUCGACAAAGUCUGCUAAGAUGACUUUUUGAAAUAUCAUAAUCGAGCAGUUCCUGUAUACCCACCGGGCUAUGAUGGUUUUACCUACUAGGGUAGAGACUGAAAAGGGCUCUGUUAGAAUUUUGGAACUGACUCUGAAAUUAACUGCUAUAUAAGAAGUGACAAAAGACAAAGAAUCUCCUGGAUUUAGAAAAACAUAAACAUGCACAUGAAAGAUCUAUAACGUACCGGUAACCAUAUCAGGAGAAUUUUCCUAAUCUUUUUAGGACUGAAGAACAUAGAGACGAUUUGGGCAUUGCCUACUAGUUACACUUGGAAAUGACACCAUUUGAUUUGGGCGACUAGACUGAACUGAGGAGCAAUUCUGUUGACCCUGAGAACCUGGCUGAGGACAGUCUAUGACUCUGUGGCCUGGCUUGCCAUAUCAGAAGCAAAUACCACUGCCAGCUCUAUAAAUACCCUGACGGUGCUUGCCAUAAGUCUGGCAAAGAGGAUAGGUGCGGGCACUGCUAACACUGCCCUUGGACUUGGAGCCUGGCGCUCCAUCUUUUUUACCCUCUCUUAACUUAGGAAUUGGAGUACUGGAUGAAGAAGGAGCUAGAACUGAUGACUUAGGACAAAACUAAGAACGGUUUCCUCCUUCUGACUUAGGAUGAGCAAAGCUGAAACUACAUGUCUUCGCUCUCUUAUUCUGCUUCUCCCUAAUCUUAAUAUUCUGCUCCUCUAACUGCUGAUCAUGAGUCAUGAGCCUAGCUAAAGUCAUGUCACUAUUCAGCAUGGCAGAUCUACCCUCAUUAACCACGUUAUCAUUCACCCCUGGAAUGAACUUACUCAUUUUUUUCCUGCUAUCUGCAGCCACAUGAGGGGCAUAUCUGGCUAAUUGAGUAACUUAAGAGAAUACUCUUUCACUGUCAUAUUUCCCUAUUGAUGAAUUCUAGUACCUUAGCUUCUCUAAGAUCUAGGGGAAAGAAUCUAUCAAGGAAUGCUGAAGCAAAUUCCUCCCACUCAAUUGAACCUGCAUCGUCUUCCCUCUCUAACUUCCACUGCUUGAACCAAGUAUGAGCCAUAUCUGUAGCUCAUAUGCAUCUAGCUCAGCACUCUCACUAGACGUAACCCCCAUUAUGUCUGUAACCUUUUACAUCUGAUCUAGGAAUUCCUAAGGGUCCUCAUUUGUCUUAGACCCAAGAAAGUAUGGAGGAUUCAUUCGGGUGAAGUCCCGAAUCCUGGCUGUAACUGAAUUGGCCACUGUGUUGGCUGGAACGACAGCUGGUCAUUCAUUCUGAGCAGAAACUGACUGAACAAGAGUAGUGAAUGCAGCUUUGAACUUUGCAUGAGAAACAUGUUCGUCCAAGGGAUCUUCUUGGACAGGCUGAGUUCUUCUCUUGGGAAGCAUGUUCUGAAAAAAAGAAAAGAAAUGAAUUAGACUGACAGAUUAGAUUGAGAUUAUGCUCACUGGCACGACAUGAAUACUUAAAGAAGGAAAACUGUUCCUAAAACCCCUUUGAGCCUCCUGCAUAUAAAUGUGGCGCGUAACACACCCAUGUAUAAGACUCUACUAGAUGUGACUUUCAGGCUUCCUAGGACUCUAUUGAACCUUAGGCUCAGAUACCAAGUUUGUAAUGCCCCAAAUCUGUUACCCGGAAUGCUACACGAUGAUCAUGACCAUGAAGGACUACAAGCUAACCCAUGACUGAUAUCUGUACCUGUAUACUACAUAAUAUACUGAGUAAUGCAGAAAUAUGAACUGAAACACCAUAAGGUUCACAUAACUGAAGUAAAACAUAACAUCUAAAAUGGGGUAUGAAAUACCCAAAACAACUGAAAUAAUUGUCUGAACAUAAUAGUCUGGAAAGCCUCUAACUGACUGAACUGUCUGAGUAAGGAGUUGAUGGGACAUGCCCCCAACUAACUCCAACUAAUAAACUAAUUAAUGAGAUAAUAGAGAAAUAAUCAUGUCCUUAAAGGAUGAGGACUCACUUCUAACUCUGACUACUGAUAUCUGGAAUCUGCUGAUGCUCUAGAACUCGUGUCUCUAAACCUAUGGUAUAAGACACCAUAACGCAAAUGCAUCAGUACUUUGAAUAUACUGGUAUGCAUUUGAGGUAAGCUAAAUGCAUGGGGUUUAUAUACAUGAACAAAUAUAAUAACAGAUUGACUAUCAUGAGCGUGAGAGUACGUGCAUGAGACAUAAAAACUGACACUGAUAUCGUGAUAACAUGAUUACUGAUAACUGAUAUAACUGAUAACAUGAGUGACUAUAUCUGACAAUCCUGAAUCUGAUGGAACUAACUGAGUUGAGUUCCGUACUGUAUCUGAAUUGACUGUGUCAGACAGUCCUGAAAUCUGAAGAACUAUCUGAGUUCUUGAUUGAUACUGAUAUUGAAAUUAUGGAAAGUAGUCAUCUAACCGACAUGCCCCAAGUGAUGCAUUAUAGCUGAAUUGGGGUCCAAUCUAUGCCCUGAUUGGAAGGGUGUCAAUACCGCGCCACUGGUAAGGACAACAUGUGAGUGACCCUAAUAUAAUAGGUAACUCUAAUGAGAAUGGUGGGAACCCUCAAGUAGCAGGUUAAGACACCUCAUCUACCUUCAUAUAGCAGGCUAUGAUGUCUCAACCUAUGCUGGCAACAUAGUUUUGGAACGCAUGGAUUGCUUCUAAGAAUCACACCCUCAUAUAAUAGGUGAGUUCCCAUCCUUGGGUUCACUCGGUGCUAAUUUCUACUCCCAUCUGAAUAGACACUGAACAUGCUUUACUGAACUGAACAUGAGCUAAGUUACUGAAAUCCGUUGACUGACGGAAUACUACUGAUAUCUGAUAACUGACUGAGUUCAUGAGAUCAUAGAGAUUUCCUGAGUCAUAAGACUGUCUGAAGUCUAAGGAUUCAUAGCUUGACUGAGAGUAUCGUGAAAACAUGACAUGGCUCUAGGCACACAACUGNNNNNNNNNNNNNNNNNNNNNNNNNNNNNNNNNNNNNNNNNNNNNNNNNNNNNNNNNNNNNNNNNNNNNNNNNNNNNNNNNNNNNNNNNNNNNNNNNNNNNNNNNNNNNNNNNNNNNNNNNNNNNNNNNNNNNNNNNNNNNNNNNNNNNNNNNNNNNNNNNNNNNNNNNNNNNNNNNNNNNNNNNNNAUUGUACAACAAUUAAACAUCAUGGUCACAUUCUAAUUUCAUCAUUCAAGGGUUUAGUCAUAGGUUUGCAUGAAUCUAUAUCUAUAAUAAUUAAACCCACAUAGAAAUUAUUACUCAACAUGGAGUAGAAUUCAAUUUCUCAUUUAUCAACAUGAACAAGAACAACCCAAUCAUGAAAUCAUAAAGAAAAUCCAUAACUUGAAGUUGAAAAAGGGAUUCAUGGACUUCAUGGACGAAAGGAAUCCAUGAAUGAACACUAUGCAUACUUGGGUUGAGUUUCUUGAACUUCAAGAAUUUGAAUCUCUUAGUUCUUGAAGAAGAUUUGGAUUUUGUUCUUGGAGAUUAAUGUUAGAGAGAAAACCCCAGUUUUGUUGUUGUGAAAGAAUAAUGAAUUUUUGAGCUUUGGUCGGAUAUAAUUGGGUAUAUAAACGGGUGGUAAAAGAUCAAAAAUCCCCUUUUAAAACUCCUUUAAUUUGCUAAAUCAGGACCUGCAACGGCUUGUGCGACGGUCCGUCGCUUGGGCAACGGUCCGUCGUUUCGACCGUUGUACAUGGACCAAGAAAAGGGCUUACUGCCUUAGUAGCGAUGGCCUGAGCGACGGUCCGUCGCAAGUUCGACGUUUCGUCAACCUGCCCAUCGCACCUUAUCCAAAAGGUGGCCUCACUAUUUUCCUUACGAUGGUCGUGGGCGAUAUACCGUUGCUAGUCCUGCGAUCUGUCAGCAUCACCUUCGCACUUGGGAGGUUUUUACUGCCUUCUGUAUUUUGGCCAUAACUUUCUCCUCAGAUGUAGGAUUUUGAUGAAAUUGGUAUCAUUGGAAAGCUAAUUCAAUUUCCCACAUAACAAAAAGUGAAAAUCUUAAAAAUACCACAUGUACAAAAGUGGAUUCAUCUUUCCAAGAAAGCUUCAAACAUUCUUUAGAUGAUUUCAAGCUAGGAAAAGUACGGGGUAUUACAAAUAAUAAUAGAGAAGAGAAACAAAAACAAGAGAAAUAAAACAAUAACAGGUUUAUUUAGAGAUGCUACUACGCAGUGGACACAAGAAGAAAACUAAGAGAUUCAAUACAACAUAGUAAAGCAACCAGCAACAAUAAAAUAUUUUAAUUAAAAGAAGAAUUUUUUUAUCAGUGGAAGGAAUCCAAUCCAUGUGAUAGCUUCACGAACAAGAUAAAAGAAAGGCAAAAAGGGAGACACACAGAUGGGGUAAAGAAUUCAGAAAGCACCAAAUCUGAUAUAAGUUACAUAAUUUUUUGCAAUAUGUUGAGAAGAUUUGAAGAAGUGGUCCAUGAGGCAGCAGACUGAAUAUAACGAGAACAAAUUUAUUUUAUGAGCAACUUUUUGUUUCAAUAAAGAGGCAUUCAGGAAUUUAAUUGAAUCAAAACUUGGCUGGAAUACUAAAAGAAAACCUUAACCAGAACCUCUAAGCGCACCCCUCAACUUAAAUAAAAUAAAUUUUUUAUCCUAAAUUGAUACCACACAAACACAAUGAAUUUGAAUUUCACAAAAGUUAGUAUUCAAAAGCUAAUCUUAGUUAGAAAGAAAUUAACAAUGCCCAAUCAUUACUCCAUGUUCCUUUUUUUGCAGAUGCACACACCAAAGGCAACAUCAACAAGAAAUUUGUAUGUGGGAUGAUGGAGGAAAAGUACUAGAUUAUGGAUAGUACUUCUCUUAAGAGUUCUUAAGGUUUUAGUUUAAUUAGUGAUGGAUAAAACAAUAAUAAAAGGAGAAAAAGUGAUUAGUUUUGUAGAGAAAGAACUGAAAGAGAGCCGGCCAGGACUAUCUUCUGGAGUGACUAAUAACUUAAACGCUGAACUACUGAUUGCAUAGAGUUUGGCUUUAUUAGAAUUUGAACGUCAAAUUGGUUUUCAUACUAAUUGUCACUACAUGAUACGUUAGUUUGACUAUGUUCCAAGGCUAUAUUUGUUGGUCUUGUUUGCAGUCUGAUGUUCAUUUGAUAUUCACAUCAUAAGGAGGCUUUGUCACUACAUAAUACACUAGCUCGACUAUGUUCCUAGGCUAAUUUUGUUGGUCAUGUUUGCAGUCUAAUGUACAGAUCUUCGUAACAUUCACCUUCACAACUAUGAAUGGUAUUGAUUGAUAGGAGUGACCGCUUUCUAGUUGUAGCUGGUACCUCCCAGAUUCACUUCAGCAUGUAAUGAACACUAAGAGAAGAAUCAAAGUUCUUCUAGGCAUAUUGUCACUACACGAUACACUAGCUUGAGUAUGUUUGAGGUCAAUUUUGUUGGUUUUAUUUUCAGCCUAAUGUACAAAGCUUUGUUUAACAUUUUACCCUAUAAGCAGGAUAGGAUUCAUUCUAUCAUUCAAGCUUAAAAAAUGAAUGGAUGAGCACUUCUAGAUUAUCAAGAGUGAGUUACCUAAUUGUCACCCUACCGUCUAAGAUAUAUGGUAUGGAUGGUAAGUGGUUUUAUAUUCAAAACCAUUUCAACUCGCUUCUAAGUAGUUUUCUAGCCAUUGUUACUUUGUAAUGUAUAGGUACGAACUUGAGUAAAUUUGUUGGAGCAAAAAAAAUAAAUGACUUUACUAGGUAAAUUCAUUAAGUUUGAGUGAUCAUUUGAGGAAUUAACUCCUAGAUUUUAAGCUUCUUCUGAACUUGGAAAUUAUCUCAUGUGAUAGUGAAGAACUAAGAACAGAAGUACAUUCACUGUAAACAUAAAGCACUAUACGUAAAGAGAAACAUAAAUAUUACAUGUUUUGCCUGUGGGCCAACGGAGGGUUUAGCAGUACUAAAUAAGCCAGAUACAAAAUUGUUUUCUUUUACUAAGUCACAGAAAUACUCGGUUCAUGUUUUGGAUUACCAAAACUAUAAGAUUAUCAGUUCAAAUUCUAUCAACUUGGCAAUUUAGUCACUUCUUAGUGAGGUUUAGAAUAUUGGAUAGGGAUUCAAACAACUGUACUUGAAGAAUAGCAAAAUAUUUAUAUAUAAAUAUACUAACUCUCAAUUCCUAAUAGCGAAAUAUUUAUACACGACAAUGGAUAAACAGCCAAACAAGAGAAACAAGGUAGUACUUAGAAAAUGGAACAAAUUUUUUUACCUCGAAUCAGUGAAGAUAGGAAUUUCUUGAUUGACCUUCAAUACCGUCGUUCAGUGAAAUUAUACCAUCAAUACCGUCGUUAAUCAUCGCCAUUAUCCACAGUCGCCAAUUAUUAAGAGAGAAUGCUGUUAUCACUCCACUGUCGCCAAUUUUUGAGAGAGCCCUAGCUUAGAGAGAGGGACAACUUAGAG